UACGGAGGGUGCGAGCGUUAAUCGGAAUCACUGGGCGUAAAGCGCGCGUAGGCGGCUUUUCAAGUCAGGGGUGAAAUCCCACGGCCCAACCGUGGAACUGCCUUUGAAACUGUAGAGCUUGAGUGUCGGAGAGGGUGGCGGAAUUCCAGGUGUAGGAGUGAAAUCCGUAGAUAUCUGGAGGAACACCGGUGGCGAAGGCGGCCACCUGGACGACAACUGACGCUGGGGUGCGAAAGCGUGGGUAGCAAACAGG
rnacentral:rRNA from 1 species